UAUUGAGAUCCUUCCGUCUGCACUCCA
rnacentral:piRNA from 1 species